rnacentral:rRNA from 1 species
GGCGAGAGACCGAUAGCGAACAAGUACCGUGAGGGAAAGAUGAAAAGAACUUUGAAAAGAGAGUUAAACAGUACGUGAAAUUGUUGAAAGGGAAACGAUUGAAGCCAGUCGUACCUUCGGGUAAUCAGCCUUUCGGGUGCGAUUCUGUGGAGUGUGAGGAGUUAAACACCUUCAUGCUUUGUUAUUCGUGCCCUUGGGUGUACUUGCUCGUAUGGUUGGUUAACAUCAAUUUUGGUGGUCAUAANAUAA